CACGGGGUAGCCUAGUGGACAUGGCAUCUGCCCGGUAAGCGGAACACUGUUGGUUCGAUUCCCAUCCCUGGACA
rnacentral:tRNA from 1 species